GGGGUUCGGGGGGCGUCGUGCGCACUAGGGCCGGACACCGAGGACGCGCCGCGGCUUCCGAGUGGGGCUCUCCGGGGAGGUGGGGCGAGGGUAGAAAUUCUGGGGUUUGCAAAGAGCUCCCUGCGUCGCCCAGCGGGAGCUGAGCCUCCAAACACCAGGAAAGCAACCGAAAACUGCUGUGCGCCCGCGUUCCCGCCCCCUCGCGGCGGGUGCCACGGGUCAGCGCCUCCAGGGCGCGAGCUGAAAAAACAACGGACUGAACUCGACCUUGCGCUUUCAAGGCAUGUCCGGUGCCAUUGAGCUAAGUCCACGGCCCUGGCUAUAUCUUUUUAUGGAGCUGGUGAAAUAACAGAAUACCAUGGUCCCGAGUACUAUCCACAGAAGCCUAUUUAAAAAGAAGAGGAGUGAUCAAGCUACAUAUGUUGCAACAGGGACUCGGCUGUGUGUUGGUGAAAUGAAUUCAUGGGGUGGAUGAAAACACAAACUGCGAGUGGUGCAGGGUUCACCAGUAAAACAUCACAACUGCUCCCGUCUUGCUUCGCACUGAGGAACAACUCAAGCCGGCCUUGUAGUGAGAUGCUUUGCCCCAUAUAAAUCACAUUUAAUAAAAGAAUAAAGGAGUAGCCGCUCA